rnacentral:rRNA from 1 species
CAAUAGCGUAUAUUAAAGUUGUUGCAGUUAAAAAGCUCGUAGUUGGAUUUCUGGUAGGAGUGACCGUUCCGAACUUGAUUGUUCGUGUAUUGUGUUUUCUCCAGCCAUCCUUGUGGAGAACUUUUCUUGCAUUAAUUUGUAGGGAUUGGGACCCGCAUCGUUUACUGUGAAAAAAUUAGAGUGUUUAAAGCAGGCAAUCGCUUGAAUACAUUAGCAUGGAAUAAUAAGAUAGGACUUUGGUACUAUUUUGUUGGUUUGCAUACCAAAUUAAUGAUCAACAGGGACAGUUUGAGGAUAUCCGUAUGAACAUGUCAGAGGUGAAAUUCUUGGAUUUUGAUCAGACGAACUACUGCGAAAGCAUUUAUCAAGGAUGUUUUCAUUAA